AGACUCUACCCACAGGGGCCCAAAGUUACAGUCGAGCUGUUCUUGGAAAAGGGAAAGCUUGGGGCUAUGAGGAGGGGUGCAUCACUGUCUUUGAGACUGACCCAGAAUGGACAUGCUAAACACAACAAACUUAAGAAUGCUGGAGUCAUGAAAAGAAGUGCCGUUCAAGCUAAAAUGAGGAAACAGGACUCUGACUGGGAGAAGUACCUCAUCUCGUGCUACAUUUGAGUUACAAAAGGCAAA